UGAACGCUAGCGACAGGCCUAACACAUGCAAGUCGAGGGGCAGCACAAGGAGCAAUCUGAGGUGGCGACCGGCGCACGGGUGAGUAACACGUAUGCAACCUGCCUGUAAGCGGGGAAGUAACCCGUUGAAAGACGGACUAAUACCGCAUAAUACUAAAUUACUGCAUGGUAAUUUAUUUAAACAUUUAUGGCUUACAGAUGGGCAUGCGCAUGAUUAGCUAGUUGGAGAGGUAACGGCUCCCCAAGGCAACGAUCAUUAGGGGUUCUGAGAGGAAGGUCCCCCACACUGGUACUGAGACACGGACCAGACUCCUACGGGAGGCAGCAGUGAGGAAUAUUGGUCAAUGGACGAGAGUCUGAACCAGCCAAGUCGCGUGCAGGAAGAAUGUUCCCUAUGGAUUGUAAACUGCUUUUGCAGGGGAAUAAAGUGCAUCACGUGUGAUGUUUUGUAUGUACUCUGCGAAUAAGGAUCGGCUAACUCCGUGCCAGCCGCUGC
rnacentral:rRNA from 1 species